rnacentral:rRNA from 1 species
GUGGAUUAGAUACCCUGGUAGUCCACACCGUAAACGAUGAUUACUAGGUGUAGGGAGGUCAGACCUUUCUGUGCCGGAGUUAACACAAUAAGUAAUCCACCUGGGGAGUACGGCCGCAAGGUUGAAACUCAAAGGAAUUGACGGGGGCCCGCACAAGCAGUGGAGUAUGUGGUUUAAUUCGACGCUACGCGAAAAACCUUACCAGGUCUUGACAUCCAACUAACGAAGUAGAGAUACAUUAGGUGCCCUUCGGGGAAAGUUGAGACAGGUGGUGCAUGGUUGUCGACAGCU